rnacentral:rRNA from 1 species
CCAAUAGCGUAUAUUAAAGUUGUUGCAGUUAAAAAGCUCGUAGUUGAACUUCGGGGUUUACCCAUUGGUCAGGCUUAAUUGUCUGUACUGGUGAGAUGAAUCUCUACCUUCUGAGGAACUUUCAUGCCAUUUAUUUGGUGUGAUGGGAAAUCAGGACUGUUACUUUGAAAAAAUUAGAGUGUUUAAAGCAGGCUAACGUCUGAAUACAUUAGCAUGGAAUAAUGAAAUAGGACGGACUGAUUCUAUUUCGUUGGUUUCUAGGAUCACCGUAAUGACUAAUAGGGAUAGUUGGGGGCAUUAGUAUUCAAUUGUCAGAGGUGAAAUUCUUGGAUUUAUUGAAGACUAACUACUGCGAAAGCAUUUGCCAAGGAUGUUUUCAUUAAUCAAGAACGAAAGUUAGGGGAUCGAAGACGAUCAGAUACCGUCGUAGUCUUAACCAUAAACUAUGCCGACUAGGGAUCGGACGAAGUUAAUUUUAUAAUGACGCGUUCGGCACCUUACG